GAUGAACGCUGGCGGCGUGCUUAACACAUGCAAGUCGAACGGAGAGGCACAGCUUGCUCUGUGGUUCAGUGGCGAACGGGUGAGUAACACGUGAGCAACCUGCCCCCCACUCUGGGAUAAGCGCUGGAAACGGCGUCUAAUACUGGAUAUGAGCUAUGUUCGCAUGGUUGGUUGUUGGGAAGAUUUUGCGGUUUGUGAUGGGUUUACGGCUUAUCUGCUUGUUGGUGAGGUAAGGGCUCACCACGGCGUCGAGGGGUAGCCGUCCUGAGAGGGUGACCGGCCACACUGGGCCUGCGAGACGGCCCAGACUCCAACGGGAGGCAGUGGGGGGGAGUAUGACACAAUGGGGCAAAGCCUGUUACGGCAGCGCCCGGUGCGGGAUACCGGCCUUCGGGUGGAAAACCUCUUUGCGAGGGACAAAACCGAUAGUGACGGUACCUACAGAAAAAGCGCCGGCUAACUACGUG
rnacentral:rRNA from 1 species